rnacentral:ncRNA from 1 species
AUCUUAUCAAGAGAGGUGGAGGGACUGGCCCUUUGAAGCCCGGCAACCAAUUUUCUAAUAAAAAAGAAAAUGACGGUGCUAAUUCCUGCAGAGUGUAGACUCUGAAAGAUGAGGA